AUACUCGAUGACCCCCAUGGAUCGCAUGGUUCGUGGGGCAAAGGCUUGCUGCCUUGGGAUCGGGAAACGCCCUAUCAGGUUGUUGGUGAGGUAACGGCUCACCAAGCCUAUGACGGGUAGCGGGUGUGAGAGCAUGACCCGCCGCAUCGGGACUGAGACACUGACCGGACUCCUACGGGAGGCUGCAGCAACGGAUAUUGGGCCAAUGAGCGAAAGCUUGACCCAGCAAUGCCGCGUGCAGGAGGAAGCCCCUCGGGGUGUAAACUGCUGUCAGGGUUUACCGAAGUUCUGACCAAACCCAAAGGAAGGGCCCGGCUAACUUCGAUGCCAGCAGCCGCGGUAAUACGAAGGAGCCCAAGCGUUAAUCGGAAUCACUGGGCUUAAAGGGUGCGCAGGCGGAAUGGUCAGUGUCUAGUGAAAUCCCACGGAUCAAACGUGGACACUGAAGGGGAUACUGCCAUUCUUGAAGCCGGUAGAGGCCGGCGGAACUAUAGGUGUANCGGUGAAAUGCGUAAAUAUCUAGAGGAACGCCAAAGACGAAGGUAGGCGGCUGGGCCGGUUCUGACGCUCAGGCACGAAAGCGUGGGGAGCAAACAGGAUUAGAUACCCUGGUAGUCCACGCCGUAAACGUUGUGCACUAGGUGCUGGAGGUUCUGACACCAUCAGCGCCGAAGCGAAAGUGAUUAGUGCACCGCCUGGGGAGUACGGUCGCAAGGCUAAAACUCAAAGGAAUUGACGGGGGCUCACACAAGCGGUGGAGCAUGUGGCUUAAUUCGAGGCAACGCGAAGAACCUUAUCCUGGGCUUGACAUGCAUGGAUUAACGCUGGGAAACCAGCGCCACACUCUUUGAGUGGAACAUGCACAGGUGCUGCAUGGCUGUCGUCAGCUCGUGCUGUGAAGUGUUGGGUUAAGUCCCUUAACGAGCGAAACCCCUGUCGCUAGUUACCAUCAGGUAAUGCUGGGGACUCUAGCGAGGCUGCCGGUGUCAAACCGGAGGAAGGCGGGGAUGACGUCAAGUCCUCAUGGCCUUUAUGCCCAGGGCUGCACACGUGCUACAAUGGCGCCGACAGAGCGAAGCAAAACCGCGAGGUAGAGCAAAUCGCAAAAAAGGUGCCCCAGUUCGGAUUGCAGUCUGCAACUCGACUGCAUGAAGCCGGAAUCGCUAGUAAUCGCGUAUCAGCAACGACGCGGUGAGUACGUUCCUGAGCCUUGUACACACCGCCCGUCAAGUCAUGGAAGCCGGGAGCACCCUGAAGUCGCACCGAUUCAGGUGUGCCGAUGGUAAGCUCGGUGACUGGGACUAAGU
rnacentral:rRNA from 1 species